rnacentral:rRNA from 1 species
UGGGGAAUUUUGGACAAUGGGCGCAAGCCUGAUCCAGCCAUGCCGCGUGCGGGAAGAAGGCCUUCGGGUUGUAAACCGCUUUUGUCAGGGAAGAAAUCUUCUGAGUUAAUACCUCGGGAGGAUGACGGUACCUGAAGAAUAAGCACCGGCUAACUACGUGCCAGCAGCCGCGGUAAUACGUAGGGUGCAAGCGUUAAUCGGAAUUACUGGGCGUAAAGCGUGCGCAGGCGGUUUUGUAAGACAGAGGUGAAAUCCCCGGGCUCAACCUGGGAACUGCCUUUGUGACUGCAAGGCUUGAGUGCGGCAGAGGGGGAUGGAAUUCCGCGUGUAGCAGUGAAAUGCGUAGAUAUGCGGAGGAACACCGAUGGCGAAGGCAAUCCCCUGGGCCUGCACUGACGCUCAUGCACGAAAGCGUGGGGAGCAAACAGGAUUAGAUAGCCCCUGGUAGUCCACGCCCUAAACGAUGUCAACUGGUUGUUGGGAAGGUUCCUUCUCAGUAACGUAGCUAACGCGUGAAGUUGACCGCCUGGGGAGUACGGCCGCAAGGUUGAAACUUAAAUGAAUUGACGGGGU